rnacentral:lncRNA from 1 species
GGUAAAUGUGCAACCACGCUGCUUCCUCAGUGCUCCAAACAGAGAGAAUUCUUAUGCAAAUUUAAGAAUCUGCCCUUGUGGAGAGGAGCGAUCUCCUUUUACAACUGUCUGGGAUUUGUAUGGAGGUGGAAUUCGGCAGUUACAGAAAACCAGUAGGAGCCUUCUGAGCUCACAGAACCUCCAGAACAUCAGCUGGAAGUGCAGUGGCUGCAUCUGGAGACCCUGUGCCCCAGUCCUCGGGCUGAGCUUUGAAGAAGAGACCUCCAGCAGCACUGGUGAGUACAGAGAUGGCCACGGAGACAGAAAUGAAAGCGGCAGAGCACCGCGAGGGCACAGCCGAGGCUUGUGGAGACAGCGCUCCAACUCUCCAGACAGCACAUCCUAUACACACCAAGUUUUUAACAAGUUGCGGAGCAAGACUUCUUUUUUUCUUUUUUCGUUAAGAACCAAGUAACUUUAUAUUGGAAGCAACAGUGCAACAAAGAAGGGACAUGAAAGCAGUGAUGGAGGAGCGCGUGGCCUGCCUGGAGACCAGGGGGAGCCCUGGGCCCGGCCCGGGACAGUCCACGCUCAGUUCUCCUUGCCCCCAUCGUGCAGGCUGAGCUUGCUGAAGAGGAGGUUGACCAGGCCCUCGCUCCGGGUCCCCAGACUGUGCAGGUUGGUCAGGUAGUCGCUCAACUCCUUCAGCAACCGGGCCUGCGGCUGCAGGCAGUUGCGCACCACCAAGUGGCACGGGCUGGG